GACGAACGCUGGCGGCGUGCUUAACACAUGCAAGUCGAACGGUGAAGGGGUCUGCUUUUGUGGGCCCUGGAUGAGUGGCGAACGGGUGAGUAACACGUGAGUAACCUGCCCCCUUCUUCUGGAUAACCGCAUGAAAGUGUGGCUAAUACGGGAUAUUCUGGGUCUGUCGCAUGAUGGGUCUGGGAAAGAUUGCGCCUUUGGGUGUUUUUGGUGGGGGAUGGGCUCGCGGCCUAUCAGCUUGUUGGUGGGGUGAUGGCCUACCAAGGCGGUGACGGGUAGCCGGCCUGAGAGGGUGGACGGUCACACUGGGACUGAGACACGGCCCAGACUCCUACGGGAGGCAGCAGUGGGGAAUAUUGCACAAUGGGCGCAAGCCUGAUGCAGCGACGCUGCGUGAGGGAUGGAGGCCUUCGGGGUGUAAACCUCUUUCGCCAGUGAAGCAGGCCUGCUCCUUGUGGGUGGGUUGACGGUAGCUGGAUAAGAAGCGCCGGCUAACUACGUG
rnacentral:rRNA from 1 species